rnacentral:rRNA from 2 species
UUAAGCGACUAAGCGUACACGGUGGAUGCCCUGGCAGUCAGAGGCGAUGAAGGACGUGCUAAUCUGCGAUAAGCGUCGGUAAGGUGAUAUGAACCGUUAUAACCGGCGAUUUCCGAAUGGGGAAACCCAGUGUGAUUCGUCACACUAUCAUUAACUGAAUCCAUAGGUUAAUGAGGCGAACCGGGGGAACUGAAACAUCUAAGUACCCCGAGGAAAAGAAAUCAACCGAGAUUCCCCCAGUAGCGGCGAGCGAACGGGGAGCAGCCCAGAGCCUGAAUCAGUGUGUGUGUUAGUGGAAGCGUCUGGAAAGGCGCGCGAUACAGGGUGACAGCCCCGUACACAAAAAUGCACAUGCUGUGAGCUCGAUGAGUAGGGCGGGACACGUGGUAUCCUGUCUGAAUAUGGGGGGACCAUCCUCCAAGGCUAAAUACUCCUGACUGACCGAUAGUGAACCAGUACCGUGAGGGAAAGGCGAAAAGAACCCCGGCGAGGGGAGUGAAAAAGAACCUGAAACCGUGUACGUACAAGCAGUGGGAGCACGCUUAGGCGUGUGACUGCGUACCUUUUGUAUAAUGGGUCAGCGACUUAUAUUCUGUAGCAAGGUUAACCGAAUAGGGGAGCCGAAGGGAAACCGAGUCUUAACUGGGCGUUAAGUUGCAGGGUAUAGACCCGAAACCCGGUGAUCUAGCCAUGGGCAGGUUGAAGGUUGGGUAACACUAACUGGAGGACCGAACCGACUAAUGUUGAAAAAUUAGCGGAUGACUUGUGGCUGGGGGUGAAAGGCCAAUCAAACCGGGAGAUAGCUGGUUCUCCCCGAAAGCUAUUUAGGUAGCGCCUCGUGAAUUCAUCUCCGGGGGUAGAGCACUGUUUCGGCAAGGGGGUCAUCCCGACUUACCAACCCGAUGCAAACUGCGAAUACCGGAGAAUGUUAUCACGGGAGACACACGGCGGGUGCUAACGUCCGUCGUGAAGAGGGAAACAACCCAGACCGCCAGCUAAGGUCCCAAAGUCAUGGUUAAGUGGGAAACGAUGUGGGAAGGCCCAGACAGCCAGGAUGUUGGCUUAGAAGCAGCCAUCAUUUAAAGAAAGCGUAAUAGCUCACUGGUCGAGUCGGCCUGCGCGGAAGAUGUAACGGGGCUAAACCAUGCACCGAAGCUGCGGCAGCGACGCUGAUGCGUUGUUGGGUAGGGGAGCGUUCUGUAAGCCUGUGAAGGUGUGCUGUGAGGCAUGCUGGAGGUAUCAGAAGUGCGAAUGCUGACAUAAGUAACGAUAAAGCGGGUGAAAAGCCCGCUCGCCGGAAGACCAAGGGUUCCUGUCCAACGUUAAUCGGGGCAGGGUGAGUCGACCCCUAAGGCGAGGCCGAAAGGCGUAGUCGAUGGGAAACAGGUUAAUAUUCCUGUACUUGGUGUUACUGCGAAGGGGGGACGGAGAAGGCUAUGUUGGCCGGGCGACGGUUGUCCCGGUUUAAGCGUGUAGGCUGGUUUUCCAGGCAAAUCCGGAAAAUCAAGGCUGAGGCGUGAUGACGAGGCACUACGGUGCUGAAGCAACAAAUGCCCUGCUUCCAGGAAAAGCCUCUAAGCAUCAGGUAACAUCAAAUCGUACCCCAAACCGACACAGGUGGUCAGGUAGAGAAUACCAAGGCGCUUGAGAGAACUCGGGUGAAGGAACUAGGCAAAAUGGUGCCGUAACUUCGGGAGAAGGCACGCUGAUAUGUAGGUGAAGCGACUUGCUCGUGGAGCUGAAAUCAGUCGAAGAUACCAGCUGGCUGCAACUGUUUAUUAAAAACACAGCACUGUGCAAACACGAAAGUGGACGUAUACGGUGUGACGCCUGCCCGGUGCCGGAAGGUUAAUUGAUGGGGUCAGCGCAAGCGAAGCUCUUGAUCGAAGCCCCGGUAAACGGCGGCCGUAACUAUAACGGUCCUAAGGUAGCGAAAUUCCUUGUCGGGUAAGUUCCGACCUGCACGAAUGGCGUAAUGAUGGCCAGGCUGUCUCCACCCGAGACUCAGUGAAAUUGAACUCGCUGUGAAGAUGCAGUGUACCCGCGGCAAGACGGAAAGACCCCGUGAACCUUUACUAUAGCUUGACACUGAACAUUGAGCCUUGAUGUGUAGGAUAGGUGGGAGGCUUUGAAGUGUGGACGCCAGUCUGCAUGGAGCCGACCUUGAAAUACCACCCUUUAAUGUUUGAUGUUCUAACGUUGACCCGUGAUCCGGGUUGCGGACAGUGUCUGGUGGGUAGUUUGACUGGGGCGGUCUCCUCCUAAAGAGUAACGGAGGAGCACGAAGGUUGGCUAAUCCUGGUCGGACAUCAGGAGGUUAGUGCAAUGGCAUAAGCCAGCUUGACUGCGAGCGUGACGGCGCGAGCAGGUGCGAAAGCAGGUCAUAGUGAUCCGGUGGUUCUGAAUGGAAGGGCCAUCGCUCAACGGAUAAAAGGUACUCCGGGGAUAACAGGCUGAUACCGCCCAAGAGUUCAUAUCGACGGCGGUGUUUGGCACCUCGAUGUCGGCUCAUCACAUCCUGGGGCUGAAGUAGGUCCCAAGGGUAUGGCUGUUCGCCAUUUAAAGUGGUACGCGAGCUGGGUUUAGAACGUCGUGAGACAGUUCGGUCCCUAUCUGCCGUGGGCGCUGGAGAACUGAGGGGGGCUGCUCCUAGUACGAGAGGACCGGAGUGGACGCAUCACUGGUGUUCGGGUUGUCAUGCCAAUGGCACUGCCCGGUAGCUAAAUGCGGAAGAGAUAAGUGCUGAAAGCAUCUAAGCACGAAACUUGCCCCGAGAUGAGUUCUCCCUGACUCCUUGAGAGUCCUGAAGGAACGUUGAAGACGACGACGUUGAUAGGCCGGGUGUGUAAGCGCAGCGAUGCGUUGAGCUAACCGGUACUAAUGAACCGUGAGGCUUAACCUU